GUUUGGGGAGACACAACCUCUCCUAACCGGCCCUCCAUACAGUUUUGGAAACCUGAUGUGGCCCUCAGGCCAAAAAGUUUGCCUGCCCCUGCUCUAGGGCAUCCUACCCUAUGGACAACAGCAAUGGUGGCUACAAGAGUGCUCUGACACCAUUUCCCAGCAUGCUCGGAGUCAGGUGCUGGCAGAAUGGACUAGAGACUCCUGCUGAGGCCAAUUGGGAGGCUUCUCAAUUGGAUGAUGUGGUCAGGCAGUUUACUGGGCCAGCGAUGAGCCUGGGCUGCUCAGCCCCUCAAUGGAGGGGAGAGCUUGAUUCAGAGACAAAGAAACUAGUUUUACUUCCAGGUUUGAGUAGCUUUGAAUGUCCGAGCAGAGGGAGAAGCAGAACAACUCAGGGAAUCUGAUUACCUUUCCCGCCCACAAAAGGAGGCUUUGGACUGCUGUGGGAUCUAGUGCAAGGGUCAGACGGUUCCUUCCAGCCCUGCGGAUCCAACCUGGCACCAACCAUCUAACCUGGCACCAGCUACCAAGGGUCAGCUGAGACCCCCACAGGACUCCAGAGCAGAGACCCAUCCUGGGGUGAAGACAUAAAGAGGAUCCCUUUGUUUGUUCAGUGGGCCAGCAUUCACAGCUCCACAGAACUUGCUUCCAGCCUCAUGCUCUGUGUACCAUCUAGCUGGGAAGGUGCCAGGGAGGGCACUGGGGGCUGGGAAGAGUUGUGAGUGUUGGGAGAUAGUAAUUACCCCUAACCUGUUCCCAGAGCCUUGUUUUCUGCUCUCAGUAAAGUCCCUGUUUGCUCUAUUGUUAUUUUUGGGUGUGCCAUUUCUGUGCUGGGGUUUAUGUUGAUGGACUAUAUUGUUCCCUGUGUACUGGGUUUUAUAGUCCUUGCCAGCAGUGGUAGCAUUAUUCAUUUUCCCAAGGGACAACACCCCUUGUGGGCUAGGUCCAGUGAGGAGUCACUUUGUGGGGAGGCACCAGGCAUCACAAACAACUCAGGACCCAACUCGUGAGGAGAGAAGCCACUAAGUAGAAAGAAGCAGGGAGGAGGCUUAAGCCACACUGCGGUGAGGAGCUGUAUAAAAACCCUCCAAUUAACUGGGGGGUGGAGAGGUGAUUUUUAUUCAUUACUUAAAAUUCAGUGUUUGUUUUUGUUAACUCAGAAUGCCCUAUAAACUAUUAGAAGACAAUAUGUCACUAUUAAAUACUCACCGUCUUAAUUCAAGGGCUGAGGCAGCUUCCAAUCUAUAUCUCUGAGUCCUCCAAGAACACCUGCAGCAAAACCAGGGAGAACAGACUGGAUAUUUUUAAGGUUUAAAAAAAAUAAGCAACCUCUUUUUAAAACACACUCUCCUACCAACCUCCUCCCCCUGGCCUUCUUUAUACAUUGCUAAAAACAGAAAAUGGUCACAAACCCAGACACCCCACCACAUACACUCUGCUUCAUGUUAAGGGCUAUAACAUCAGAGAGUUACAGGGAGUCCAGAAUAGAUAACAAUACCUUGAUUAUAAAACUGGAGACCUGGAAGAUAGGUCUCCAUGUUCAAACUUGAGAUGUAUCCAAGUUUGCCCUUUGGAUACUAACAAGUAUCCAAAGGGCAAAGACAUGCUUGUGGUGGGUAUGCAGAAAAUAUCCAGACCUGGGGCACGAGGACUGAUCUGUCCCUCAGAUACAAUAUUCACAAUGACUACAAAGGAUGCUGUUUGAGGGGGUAAAACAGAAGCAGUUUGCCGAAAAUCCUGUUUAGUGCCCAUGUUGCUAUCUAGCCAAUGCAAACUGGCCUAGUAGCAGUGAGAACAUUGCUCCUGCAGAAAGGAAUGGUAAAUAACGAGCUGAGUCAGCAUGAUGUCUUGUCCUGUGACAGCAGCAUUUCUUGUAUACUCGUUAUCCAAGCACAUACCGCUACCCCUGCUACUAUGGCUUGUGGUCACGUUGCCAGGGUCUGUCAGAUUUGUGAUACUGCAGCCCAUAUUCUUCACAGUGAUAUUAUUAUAUGAUUAGAGCAUAAUUAUGAUGCAUUUUAUGCAAGAUGGGUCAUGUAAGGUGUCAUCAGAAAAGUUAUGAUUUGCUGAAUAUGAUUAUCCUAUUUGUAUGCAUGUAUCAUUUUUGUAUCUCAAGUUAUGAAUAUUGACUAUGUAUCUGUAUUUCAAAUGUACAUCUGUGUGACGCCCACUAGGCAAGAUAUUGUCAGGCUAGAUAGUGGGUGGGGAAGGGCCUAUUCAGGGUAAUGAGCCAUUAGGGAAAACAAUAGGUCUUAGGAGAAGCUUAUCCAUCACCUGGUGAGCCUUCUUGUAAAGGUUCCAGACAGCCUAUAAGUAAUGACUGCUACGACUCAGCCAGGUAUGCCAGGGCCUGUGACCAGGCCACAUGACGCUGGACUCCAUCUUGGGAUAUCAGUGUUUUCCCACAAACUGGGUUUGGGACCAAAGGAUUCCCGCCAUAUGCUAAAGCUAUAUAAGGCAGGGAAUGACAUCAUCUGCUGUUCUUCACCCCUCACACAAGAAAACUCCUGGAAACACCUGAGGAACAAAGACUGAACUGGGGGAAGUGCUGGACCCAGGCUAAAGGGAUUUCUAGUCUGUGGAUGAAAGACCUGGGGAUUCCAAGCUGGAAAGCCAGUGCAGCUUGUCCCUUAAAAUCUGCAGCCUGCUUGCACCAUCUCUCAAGAACUCUGGCAGGAGACACAAGGACCCCAGACACAAGGCAGGAGAGGUCAGCAGGACCUGCUCUUUGAAGAGCUUUUUUUGUUUUUGGCUGCACUUGGAUUGACCUUCACAUUCAGCAACAAUGAAUUCAGGCUUUUCGGCGCUUUUAUUCUUGACCUUUUCUUAUGUAACAGCUGAUGAUUUUCCAAACUGUUGUCUCAUGGCUGAAGUUAAGAUGAGACCAAAACGUUCACCUGACUGCACUUAGCUGGCGGUUUCAGUGGGUAAAAAGAGCUGCACUUUUGACACUGAUCCACUUACAAACACAUUGAACAAGUGCUGGGAUUAUAAUUUCAUAUGUUAUUAAAUUGUACUGUGAACAAAGUUUUUCCUCAGUGCUCCACACAGACAGAAAAUUGCCUUUGGUAUUAUAUUUCAUCAGUCACGUAUCAUGAAUUUAUGUAAAUGCAUAAUUAGAAAUGAUAGCCUUGGAAAAAUUCACUCAUUUAUAAAAUUAGACUUGUUAAAUUAAAAUUGCACCUAAUGACUUGUAUUUUACUCUUUAAAUAUGUCAGAUCUCUGUGUUUUUACAAAUACAGCAAUGUAAUUGAUGGGUUUUAGUAUAUUACUGAUAAUAUGCAAAAGCACACUACAUGAGUGAAUGUUUUUUGAUGUAAUGAGUCCAACUGUUAAUUAUAGAAAGGCCUUCUUACAAAUCUAGGAUACCAUCUGUCCUAAAGCUACCUUUUAGAUAGCAUUAUGCUUGCGUUCUGUGCAUUUGUACUUUGCCAUUAUGCUAAAAAAUAAGUAAAGAGAAUGUUACAGUAUAAGUUAAUGAAUAAAUGACGAAUUGCUAAAACUGUCUAACCAGAUUAUUCACAACUGCUUCACUGUGAGUUAGAAAUUCAACUUAUUUUUCUUCAUCAUCACUCAAACCAUGCAUUUUUGUUAUUGUUAUUACACAUUUUAAUGAUUAGUUAGAUUCAUCAGACUUCUGUAAAUUCAGUUAAA